AGAGUUUGAUCCUGGCUCAGGACGAACGCUGGCGGCGUGCUUAACACAUGCAAGUCACGGGGGGUCGCAAGACCAACCGGCGAACGGGUGCGUAACACGUGAGCGACCUGCCGAUUCGAGGGGGAUAGCCGGCCCAACGGCCGGGUAAUACCGCAUACGCUCUUUGACCCGCAUGGGUUGGAGAGGAAACCUCCGGGGCGAAUCGAGGGGCUCGCGGCCUAUCAGCUAGUUGGCGGGGUAACGGCCCACCAAGGCGACGACGGGUAGCUGGUCUGAGAGGAUGGCCAGCCACAUUGGGACUGAGAGACGGCCCAGACUCCUACGGGAGGCAGCAGUGGGGAAUCUUGCGCAAUGGCCGAAAGGCUGACGCAGCGACGCCGCGUGGAGGAUGACGCCCUUCGGGGUGUAAACUCCUGUUGCCCGGGACGAACAGCUCUCUUUAGGGGGCCUGACGGUACCGGGUGAGGAAGCACCGGCUAACUCCGUGCCAGCAGCCGCGGUAAUACGGAGGGUGCGAGCGUUGUCCGGAAUCACUGGGCGUAAAGGGCGCGUAGGUGGCUUGGUAAGCGUGCGGUGAAAGCCCGGGGCUCAACCCCGGGUCGGCCGUGCGAACUGCGAAGCUGGAGCACUGUAGAGGCAGGUAGAAUUCCGGGUGUAGCGGUGGAAUGCGUAGAGAUCCGGAAGAAUACCGGUGGCGAAGGCGGCCUGCUGGGCAGUGGCUGACACUGAGGCGCGACAGCGUGGGGAGCAAACAGGAUUAGAUACCCUGGUAGUCCACGCCGUAAACGAUGGGCACUAGGUGCUUGGGGGAGCGACCCUCCGAGUGCCGUCGCUAACGCAUUAAGUGCCCCGCCUGGGGAGUACGGCCGCAAGGCUGAAACUCAAAGGAAUUGACGGGGGCCCGCACAAGCGGUGGGGCAUGUGGUUUAAUUCGACGCAACGCGAAGAACCUUACCUAGGCUUGACAUGCACGGGAAACCCUUCAGAAACGGGGGGCCCUCUUCGGAGUCCGUGCACAGGUGCUGCAUGGCUGUCGUCAGCUCGUGUCGUGAGAUGUUGGGUUAAGUCCCGCAACGUGCGCAACCC
rnacentral:rRNA from 1 species